AGCUCCGUUAUAAUCUAUAGG
rnacentral:miRNA from 1 species